UACGUUCCCGGGUCUUGUACACACCGCCCGUCACACCAUGGGAGCGGGUUUUACCAGAAGUAGGUAGCUUAACCGUAAGGAGGGCGCUUACCACGGUAGGAUUCGUGGCUGGGGUG
rnacentral:rRNA from 1 species